UACGGAGGGUGCAAGCGUUAAUCGGAAUUACUGGGCGUAAAGCGCGCGUAGGCGGUUUGAUAAGUCGAUUGUGAAAUCCCCCGGGCUCAACCUGGGAAUUGCAGUCGAGACUGUCAGACUAGAGUGUGGGAGAGGGUGGUGGAAUUCCCGGUGUAGCGGUGAAAUGCGUAGAUAUCGGGAGGAACAUCAGUGGCGAAGGCGAC
rnacentral:rRNA from 1 species